UACGAGGGGUGCUAACGUUAUUCGGAAUUAUUGGGCGUAAAGGGUGCGUAGACGGUUUGUUAAGUCGAUUGUUAAAUCCUCUGGCCUAACUAGAGAUUCACGGUCGAAACUGAUAAACUUGAGGUUGGAAGAGAGAAGUGGAAUUCUCGGAGUAGCGGUAAAAUGCGUAGAUCUCGAGAGGAACACCGAUGGCGAAAGCAGCUUCUUGGUCCAUACCUGACGUUGAUGCACGAAAGCGUGGGGAGCAAACAGG
rnacentral:rRNA from 1 species